AGAGUUUGAUCCUGGCUCAGGAUGAACGCUAGCGGCAGGCCUAACACAUGCAAGUCGAGGGGUAACAGGGAAGAGCUUGCUCUUUCGCUGACGACCGGCGCACGGGUGCGUAACGCGUAUACAACCUACCUUUUGGAGGGGAAUAGCCCAGGGAAACUUGGAUUAAUGCCCCAUAGUAUGGAGAUAUCUCCUGAUAUUUUCAUUAAACAUUUAUGGCCAUUAGAUGGGUAUGCGUCCUAUUAGUUAGUUGGUAAGGUAACGGCUUACCAAGGCAGCGAUAGGUAGGGGUCCUGAGAGGGAGAUCCCCCACACUGGUACUGAGACACGGACCAGACUCCUACGGGAGGCAGCAGUGAGGAAUAUUGGACAAUGGGCGAGAGCCUGAUCCAGCCAUGCCGCGUGCAGGAAGACUGCCCUAUGGGUUGUAAACUGCUUUUACAGAGGAAGAACCACUCCCACGUGUGGGAGUUUGACGGUACUCUGCGAAUAAGGAUCGGCUAACUCCGUGCCAGCAGCCGCGGUAAUACGGAGGAUCCAAGCGUUAUCCGGAAUCAUUGGGUUUAAAGGGUCCGUAGGCGGGCAGUUAAGUCAGUGGUGAAAGUCUUCCGCUCAACGGGAGAACUGCCAUUGAAACUGAUUGUCUUGAGUUAUUAUGAAGUGGUUAGAAUGAGUAGUGUAGCGGUGAAAUGCAUAGAUAUUACUCAGAAUACCGAUUGCGAAGGCAGAUCACUAAUAAUAUACUGACGCUGAUGGACGAAAGCGUAGGUAGCGAACAGGAUUAGAUACCCUGGUAGUCUACGCCGUAAACGAUGGUUACUAGCUGUUCGGCCCGAUUAAGGGCUGAGUGGUUAAGCGAAAGUGAUAAGUAACCCACCUGGGGAGUACGUUCGCAAGAAUGAAACUCAAAGGAAUUGACGGG
rnacentral:rRNA from 1 species